GAGAAGCAUCCGCUUGCGCCAGGACGGGUCGAACCAGCUGUUGAGGCGCAUGUCGUUGCUGAUGAAAAUGGCGUGGACUUCGAUCCGCCUGUCCGUCUUCUGCAGCAGAGGAGGAAAGUGAAUUGCAGUGAGGAGUGAAGUUAUUCUGAACAUGAACCCUGAAAUGGAUGAGCUGGGAUCUAAAUAGACCAUAUGAUACUCUUACACACUUAAUACCACAUUCCCAGAAAGCCAGCUGCUUUUUAAAGGCACAAUAAAAGAUGGAAGGAAGCCCCAGAAUCUGGAAUUAGCAGCAUUCAAGAUGGAGAACCUGGGUAUAGCCUGUGGCCACUCAACUGGGGCCCCCUGCAGGCCACCUCUGGGUAUUGCUGUGGUCAAGGUCAGGACCAAUGGCUGCCCUCAGUGGCCCCCAACCCUCAGAGAGCAUCUGUGUUUUGGCUUUGUCAUUCUGCAAUAAACUCAUCUGUCAGUUUGUGACUCCAUCAAAGCUAGCGAGUAAAUACCUCAUUGCUGCAUUUC